CUAUGUUAAGUAAGUUUAUUUUAUUUUAUUCCUAACCUCAUUGAACCGUGUGUUUUACUGAGGUUUUAGUUUUUACAUGAACACAACCAAGUAAUUCAUUUCAGUGGAAUAAACUGAUCGGGAAUCUGGACUUUUGUCUUUGGCGUCUCCCACUGUGUCUUAUUAAUAUUACAUCUAUUACGUAUGCCACUUAUGAGGAAGUUCCCCAAGCCGCGACAUUAACUCGGCCAAACAUAGCUAUCUUCGACUCCAUAAGAUUGAAAACUUCGGCAGAGAACAGAAUGCCUCCUGCCCAUCAAAUUCAGCCUUGGGGAGAAGAUCAUCUGGGCAUCCCAGUACCUUGUCAAACAAACCCAAAUGGUUUAAAUGGAGUUGUGGUCUAUGAUGACAAAACCUAUCCAAUUCCGUAUCUCCGUUAUGAUUCCUUGGAUGAAGUGACAGUAUUCAGGCAGAGUGACAGCGGUCUGAGGACGGACAUACCAGUUGCUGGUUCAACAGGACUUGUGGAUGUCUUUGCUUUUAUGCUAUUGUCAUUUACUUUCUCAUUUCUUAUUUUCAAUUGGGUAGCUGCAAAUUAGCAAUUUUGAUAAAAUUCAAAUUGUAAUGUAAAAAUCUGUAUUAAAUUAUUA